CUCACACACAGAUACACACACUGGCACAUACAAAAACAGAUACACACACCUUGAUACACAGACACUCACUGGCACAUACAAAGACACAUACACACAUUGACACACAGACGCACACCAGCACAUACAAAAAAAGGUUUAUGCAACUGCACAAUUUUUUUUUUAAUGGGUGUUGAUACACUAUGUCAAAGGGUUCCAUGGGAAAAAUUAAUUGGGAACCCCUGCCAUAUAGGACUAAUAGGUUUCUCUCCAUGGGGUCUUGG